UACGGAGGGGGGUUAGCGUUGUUCGGAAUGACUGGGCGUAAAGCGCGCGUAGGCGGGCUGGAAAGUUGGGGGUGAAAUCCCGGGGGCUCAACCCCCGGAAUGGCCUUCAAAACUCCCAGCCUAGAGUUCGAGAGAGGUGAGUGGAAUUCCGAGUGUAGAGGUGAAAUUCGUAGAUAUUCGGAGGAACACCAGUGGCGAAGGCGGCUCACUGGCUCGAUACUGACGCUGAGGCACGAAAGCGUGGGGAGCAAACAGG
rnacentral:rRNA from 1 species